rnacentral:misc_RNA from 1 species
GAUGAAGAACGCAGCGAAAUGCGAUAAGUAAUGAGAAUUGCAGAAUUCAGUGAAUCAUCGAAUCUUUGAACGCACAUUGCGCCCGUCAGUAUUCUGGCGGGCAUGCCUGUUCGAGCGUCAUUACGCCCCUCAAGUCCCCUGUGGACUUGGUGUUGGGGAUCGGCGAGGCUGGUUUUCCAGCACAGCCGUCCCUUAAAUUAAUUGGCGGUCUCGCCGUGGCCCUCCUCUGCGCAGUAGUAAAACACUCGCAACAGGAGCCCGGCGCGGUCCACUGCCGUAAAACCCCCCAACUUUUUAUAGUUGACCUCGAAUCAGGUAGGACUACCCGCUGAACUUAAGCAUAUCAAUAAGCGGAGGA